rnacentral:rRNA from 1 species
AGUGAACGCUGGCGGUAGGCCUAACACAUGCAAGUCGAGCGGCAGCAUAGUACGAGCUCCCGCUUGCGGGUGGCGAGGGGUGGACGGGUCAGGGAAAUAUAGGAAUCAACUUUUUAGUAGGGGCUAACGUGGGGCAACUUACGCUAAAACUGCUUAGGACCAAAGGGUGAAAGCAGCGGACCUUGCGACCUCGCGCGAUGCAAUGUCUCAAUGUCGAGUUAGUUAGUUAGCGGGGUAAAGGGGCAUCCAGCCGAGGAUCCGUAGCUGGUCUGAGAGGAUGAUAAGACACACUGGAACUGAGACACGGUCCAGACUCCUACGGGAGGCAGCAGUGGGGAAUAUUGGACAAUGGGCGCAAGCAUGAUCCAGCCAUACCGCGUGUGUGAAGAAGGCCUUCGGAUUGUAAAGCCCUUUAGUUUGGGAAGAAGGGCAGUAGGUUAAUACCCUGCUGUUUUGACGUUACCCACAGAAUAAGCACCGGCUAACUUCGUG